rnacentral:rRNA from 1 species
UGAAUACGAGACGCUAAGGCGUCGAAGUAGUGUAUGUCAUACUUCCAAGAAAAGCUUGCACUGUCAUAAGUAAAAAAUGCCUGUACCAUAACCGACACAGGUGGGUAGGUAGAGUAUACUAAGGGGCGCGAGAUAACUCUCUCUAAGGAACUCGGCAAAAUAACUCCGUAACUUCGGGAGAAGGAGUACCUUAUUCUAUAAGGUUGCAAUAACAAGAUCCAAGCAACUGUUUAUCAAAAACACAGGUCUCCGCUAAGUCGUAAGACGAUGUAUGGGGGCUGACGCCUGCCCAGUGCCAGAAGGUUAAAGAAGUCGGUUAGCAUUAGCGAAGCUGGUAACUGAAGCCCUGGUGAACGGCGGCCGUAACGAUAACGGUCCUAAGGUAGCGAAAUUCCUUGUCGGGUAAGUUCCGACCCGCACGAAAGGCGUAAUGAUUUGGAUACUGUCUCGGAGAGGGGCUCGGUGAAAUAGACUUGUCUGUGAAGAUGCGGACUACCUGCACCAGGACAGAAAGACCCUAUGAAGCUUUACUGUAACUUGAAAUUGAAAUUGGACUUUAUUCGCGCAGUAUAGGUGGGAGGUGUUGAUUAUAAUCUUGCGGGAUUAUUGGAGCCAUCAGUGAGAUACCACUCUUGUAAUGUUAGAUUUCUAACUUUGAAUCAUUAUCUGGUCAAAGGACAGUUUCAGGCGGGCAGUUUGACUGGGGCGGUCGCCUCCCAAACGGUAACGGAGGCGUACAAAGGUUUCCUCUGAACGGGUAGAAAUCGUAUCUAGAGUGUAAGGGCAUAAGGAAGCUUGACUGUGAGACCUACAAGUCGAACAGGGACGAAAGUCGGUCUUAGUGAUCUGACGGUACUGAGUGGAAAGGCCGUCACUCAACGGAUAAAAGUUACUCUAAGGAUAAUAGGCUGAUCUCCCCCAAGAGUUCACAUCGACGGGGAGGUUUGGCACCUCGAUGUCGGCUCAUCGCAUCCUGGGGCGGUAGUACGUCCCAAGGGUUGGGCUGUUCGCCCAUGAAAGCGGUACGCGAGCUGGGUUCAGAACGUCGUGAGACAGUUCGGUCCAUAUCCGGUGUAGGCGUUAGAAUAUUGAGAGGAGCCUUCUUUAGUACGAGAGGACCGAGAAGGACAUACCUCUGGUGUACCAGUUAUCGUGCCAACGGUAAACGCUGGGUAGCUAUGUAUGGAGUGGAUAACCGCUGAAAGCAUCUAAGUGGGAAGCCCACCUCAAGAUAAGUAUUCUC